rnacentral:misc_RNA from 1 species
CCUUCUCAAACACUCGUGUUUGGUUGUGAGUGAUACUCUUUCCAGGGUUAACUUGAAAUUGCAAGCCUUUUGGCUGCGCGCUGGCUCGGAUAAUGCUUUUUGUCCAGUCUGCCAAUACCAAAGUCGUAUUAGGUUUUACCAACUUCGGCGGAUGGUGCUGGUGGGUGUUAUUAAGACUUUUAGCCUGUUCAUUGCUAUUGUGUGGUCUGGCAAACAAUACUCUCAAA